GGCGCAUUAGUCUAGCGGUUAGGACGCCGCCCUCUCAAGGCGGUAGCACGGGUUCGAGUCCCGUAUGCGCUACCA
rnacentral:tRNA from 1 species